rnacentral:rRNA from 1 species
UACGAAGGGUGCAAACGUUGCUCGGAAUUAUUGGGCGUAAAGCGCACGUAGGCGGCAUUGCAAGUCGGAUGUGAAAUCCCUCGGCUCAACCAAGGAAGUGCAUCCGAAACUGCUGUGCUUGAGUACUUAAGGGGAUCGCGGAAUUCCCGGUGUAGAGGUGAAAUUCGUAGAUAUCGGGAGGAACACCAGUGGCGAAGGCGGCGAUCUGGGAAGAUACUGACGCUGAGGUGCGAAAGCGUGGGGAGCAAACAGG